UCCUAUUAGCCGUAAGAUGGAAGUAUAGUCGUAGCAAGGCAUAUCAAUAAGCGGAGGAAGAUUCAAUAGUCGGAGGAGGCAUAUCAAUUCGCGGAGGAGCAUAUCAAUAAGCGGAGGAUGGCAUUAAAAUUCGCAGAAGGGCAUAUCAAUAAGCGGAGGAUGGAAUUAAAAGUCGUAGAAGGGCAUAUCAAUAAGCGGAGGAGGGUAUCAAUAGUCGUAGGAGGGAAUAUCAAUACGCGGAGAAGGGUAUCAAAAGUCGGAGGAGGGAACUCUUGGCUCUCGCAUCGAUGAACAACGCGCCGAAAUGCGAUCCCUACUGUGAAUUGCAGAAUUCAGUGAAUCAUCGAAUCUUUGAACGCACCUUGCGCCCUCUGGUAUUCCGGAGGGCAUGCCUGUUUGAGUGUCAUUAAAUUCUCAACUUCAAUAGCUUUUACUAGCUUAUUGAUGCUUGGAUGUGGGAGCUUGCUGGCGUCUUAGGGAUGUUCGGCUCUCCUUAAAGUUAUUAGUGGAAACCUCUUUGUUGGUUUAUUCCUUAGUGUGAUAAUUAUCUACGCUAUGAAUAAUCUAAUGUUCCAUUGAGACUUGGGAUUUCUCAGUAGAAAUACUGGUUUGGGUACUGCAAUUAAAUUUGCUGUAUCUGUAAUCUCUCAGUAGCAAUACUGGUCUGGGUAUUGCAAUUAAAUUUGCUUUGCCUGUAGUCUCAGAGGAAAAGAAAAGUUCUGCUUUUCUAACCGUCUAUGUAUAUAGACAAUUUAUUGACUAUUUGACCUCAAAUCAGGUAGGACUACCCCGCUGAACUUAAGCAUUAUCAAUAAGGCGGAGGAAA
rnacentral:rRNA from 1 species